rnacentral:lncRNA from 1 species
GACAGCGUUGAAUUUGCGGCAUCGUAGGUGAAAUGAAGGUAGGAGGAGAGUGUAGGGAGGUCUAAACAGUGGAUGUACAGAUUGUUGUUUGUGAACGUCUGUGAGGCGCAUGUUUGUGAACGUACGGGUAAGGUUAGAGAAAUUGAGACGCAAAAGGUUAGAAGCAAAGCAGAAAUUUUAAACGGAGAUGCCAUUUUUUAGAGCAAAGGAAGAGUUGAGAGAAGGAUUGGCUCUUGAAGGUUUGGCGCAGUAUAUAUAUAGAAAAGAAGGAAAGAAAUAGACUGCAGAUGCCGAAGGUUGAUGGCGUAGGAGGAUUUUUAAUUAUUUAUUUUUUUAAUUAUCUUUAUUUAUAUUUAAUCUGGGAAAAUAUUUUUUCAUGUUUUUUCUUUUUUUAUUUAGUUUAGGAAAUUAUUUGAUAUUUUAAAAAAUUGUUUGAUAUUUUUAUUUUUUUCAUGUUCAUUUUAGAAAUUAUUCAAUUUAAGAAUUUUAUGUUUUAUUAUUUAAUUUAGGCUUAAGACUAGUAUAAAUAGGAUUGCUUAACUUGUAUUUUAGAAAACAAUAGCCAAUAAUAAAAUCUUAAAUUAGAGCAUUUGUGUGGUGAUUCUAUUCAACAAAUUUUUAUAUUGUCAAUACUUGUUUUUCUAGUUUAUUUUCAUUUAUCAACGCUCAACAAUUCCUAAUAAUUAAUAUUGUAUGUCGUUAAAUAAUAUUGACAGGAAAAGUUCAUAAAAUAUGAUGUGUUUAUAUAGGAAAGGAUAAAGAGAUUCUUUUCAAAAAAGAGAUGUUCACAAACUGGUAAUAUAAAAUAUAUAGAAUCAAAUUGCAGAAUUAACCUUUCAGUUGGUAGAAAUAGAGAACUUGACGAAUCACAUGGAGAGUCAUCGCAAAUCCAUGUCUAGCUUUGAAAAAUAGUUUGAGAAAUGAAAGCAAAUGAGGUAGUCUUUUGAUUAAGAUAAAUAUCAUAUAGAUUUUAGCAAUCUCGUUUAAGAUGAAAUAGAUAUGAAUUGAUAUUUUUUUUAUUAUCAAUUUAUCAUGUUUAUUUUGAUAAUGAUUGUAAUGUUAAUCAUUGUAUAAACAACGAUAAUGACAUCAAUGAUGUCUUCAUUGACAAGUUAGAGGUUAAGUGCAAAAAGUAUAUAGAAAAUGUUAAACAAAAGAAAAUUAUUUAUUGAGGCUAUGUUGAUUUUUUUGAUUUCAAGCUUAUUAUUAUUAAAAAGGUAGAUUUAUUCGAGGAUUAUUUGGAUAUAACUAGUGUUGAUGAAGUAAGCUUGAGGUUUGUAAUUUGUUACUCUAAAAGCCAAUAAAAAAAGAAAUAGUUUGUCAAAUUUUAAUUCUUAUGGAAACUUCAACAUAAAAUGAUUGAAGUUAAUAUCUAAAAUUGUUAUACACACAGAAAAAAGAAAGAAAAAAGAGUUGGACAAUCUGGAUUUUACAUCUGCGAGAUUAAGAUAAGAACAAUUAUAACUUGAUAACAAGUUCUCUCUAGCAUAUAGAGAUUGAUACAGGAGGAGUUUUACGAGAAAUUAUUUAUUAUUUAUUUUUAGUUUUAUUUAGCCUAGGUAAGUAUGUUUAGAAAAUCAAAUACUAUGUUUGACAAUUAUUUUUUUCCGUUUAGUUUAAGAUUUAUACAGUCUAGAAUUUUUUUUAUUUAGUAUUGAUCUAAAACUAGUAUAAACAGAGUUGCUUAACUUAUCUGUAAAAAAAAAAAAAAAGUUGCUUAACUUAUGUUUGAGUAAAUUAUUUAAAUAUAUAUAUUUAAUAAUAAAAUUUAAAGUUAAAGUUUCUAUGCUAUAACUCUAUUCGACAGGACUGUAUGAUAUUGGUUAUUUUUUAAAUGAUAUUUUGUAUCAAAAUGUAUGUUAAUGAUUUUUUUUUUAUUUUUUUAAAAUUAUUUUUAAUUUAAAAUAUUAAAAUGAUUUGAAAACACUAAAAAUAUAUUAAUUUGAAGUUAAUAAAAAAAUAAAAAAUUCUUUUAAAAACAUUUUUAAAACGCUAAAACAAAAUAUUUUAUCUUAUAUAUAUAUAUAUAUAUAGAGAGAGAGAGAGAGAGAGAGAGUUAAAUUGGUCAAUGCAACUUUUACACAGUUCUGUUUGACUGAUACGUAGGCCGAGCAGGACACGCAGAGGAUGUGAGGAGAAGAAAAGGAAAUGUAAUUAUUGUUUUUUCUUAUUAUUAAACAGCAUGUGUGGUUAUGAUUGUUAAAAAAAGAAAAAAAGAAUUGAAAAAUGUUUGAAUUUGGGAAUUACAAAAGGUAGCAGAGAUGACACGUGGAAUUUGACCUAAAUAUGUUAAUUUAUUUUUACCUGAUUCCCAACUAAUUUCAUGCCGAAAUGCUCGAGUUACGCUAGCUUUUACCUAGACAUGCUUUCUAAAAUAUUUUCAACAGGUGGAUUUUUAUUUUCCGGAGUCAAAUCCACUUAUUUAUACAUAAUAUACGAUUUUCAGGAGAUAUUGAUUCUUUGAUGGUAAAAUUAGCAUUUUUAUUUUUAGUGUUUUAACAGAAAGAAGUCAAGUAGAUGUUGAAUGCCUCUUACUAUAAUCGGAAUAUCGUUUAUAAUUAGUUUUUUUUUUAAUCAAUUUAUAUUUCCAGGUUGUUAGUAAAUUGUUAUUCAAGUUUUUUCGAGAACCGUAACAAAUACCAUAUACUAUGCACAUAGUAUUAUCCGAGGAGUUCCCGCUUCGUUGGGAAAUUGUAUUAUUAUUUUUGCUUAAUAAAUAAUGUUCAGGUAUCACAAGUUUUUUUUUUAAAAUAAUAUAUAACUCGGAUUAUAAAUCUGACUAUAUCAAAUAAUAUGAUAUUAUUUUAUUUAGAUAAAAAAAAAUAUAGAAAACAAUAACCCGGUAUAUAAUGUCAAACUCACGGUUCAAAUAAUAAAAUUAGAAUAACUUAAUAAAAAUAAAAAAAAUUAUAAAGUUUUUUUUAAUAAAAAAAAAUGUUAACUUUUUAAACUUGUGAAUUGAAGUCAUUAGACCCGAAACAUCUUAUCUGAAAAAACCAUGAAGUUUAAUUCUUAGUCAAAUAAAUAUUGAAGAAUGAAAUUGAAGAAAAAAACUCAAUUAUACAAAAUAAUUCAAAAAAUAUCAAUAAAAGUAUAAUGAUCAAAAUUAAAAUACAAAAUAAUUUUUUUAUGUAAUUCAAUGAUGAGAUUUUAAAGAAAAAUCAAUUGAGCAAGAUGACCUAAAAAAUCAAAAGAAUGAGGAUCUCACUUGACAUAAAAAUAUAUAAAAAAUAUUUUAAUUGAAGACUGAAAUUGAAAAUAAUAAUAACUUUUACAAAAUGGCCAGGAAAAAAAAAUUUGAAAUCAAAACAAUAAGAACCAGAUUGAAAAAUAUAAUACCAUCAAUCUGCAUUGAAGGAUGAAAUUAAAAAUUAAUAAAAUUUUUACAAAAAAACCAAGGAAAAAUAUGAGAAAUAAAAAAAUAAAGACCAAAUUGACAAAAAUAAUAUAUAGCAUAUUGGGAUGGAAUGAUCAAAUUGAAAACAAAUAAUUUUUUUUAAUAAAAGAGUCAAGAACAAAAAAAUAAAAAAAGUAAGGAUUGAAGUUGAAAAAUCAACAAUAAAAAAAGUCAAGUUGUAAUUUUCAAGGUGAGGCAAGAAAAAAAAAGAAAAAAAGGCCUAUUGAUAACAAAUUUUGAUCACCAGAAUAGACACGAGCUGCUACACAUAAAAGAUGACACAACAACGUUUUAGUGGGCAUUUUUAGAUAUCAAGAGAUGUUGCACAUGCCACAUACAAGGUGCGGGCACUUCCAACGCGUCUUUUGGUGUCAUACAUACGCCCAAUCUUUUUGUUAUGUGUGUAUAUAUAUAAUUAAAUACCAAAAAAUACAAAAAUAUACUUUGAUGGAGAUCUUAUAUUUUUUUUAUUUUAAAAAUAUUUUUGUUAUUGCAUUAUGCAAUUGAGAUUGAAAAAGGUUUAUUUAUACCAGGUUAAUUUGAUGAUGACAAAUGGGCUUUAUGCAAAAAUAGUUAAAUGCCAUUGGAAGAUAAUGAUAAUGUUUUUGAAUGAAAAAGUACACUACUAGAAAAUUAAUAAAUACAAACGAAAAUAUUCCCUCGGUAUAUACCGAGAGAAUUACCGUGAGAAAUUUUUUUAAAACAAAGCAAAAAAAAUGAUGACGUGUCAUUUUUUACCGACGGAAUUACAGACGGCAAAUUUUGUCGGUAAUUUCGUCGGGAAAUCCGUUUGUAAACUGUGAACACUGUUCAUUAUGUCAAUUACAAAGAGAAUUACCGACGGAAUUUGCCGUCGGUAUUUUUCAGAGAGCUCCAGAACUGUUCAUUUUCCAAUUGCACUGUUAAUUGUUUUACUUUACGGACAAAAUAACUGACGGAUUGAAAAUGCAUCGGUGUGUUUUGGUGGUUUUCUGAAAAAAUUCAAUUGAUUUAAAAUUUUCAUUUAAAUAUUACAGACGGAAUCACCGACGGAUUAAAAAAUCAUCGCUAAUUUUUUGACGGUUUCUGAAACUUUUUACGAAAUUGAAAAUUUAAAUUAAAUAUUACCGAUGAAAUAAUUAAAAAAUAUUAAUAUUCAAUUAUCCAUCGGUAACGAACCCCAAUAAAAAACCUGAAUCCGCUUUUUCACAAUAGACAGACUCAUUAUUUCUUUUUCUUCUUCUACUACUUCUACUUUUUCAUCUUCUUCACUAUAUGUAAAAAACAUCAAUAUCUAUUUCUUUCUCUUCUUUUCUCUUCUUUUCUCUCCUCAUCUCCUUCUCUUUUUCUCCAUGCUCGGGUAUGUCUUCUUCUUCUUUCUUCUUUUAUCCUCUUAGUUUUUUUUAAUUAAUAUGCUUUACGAAUUUGUUUUUUCCUUAGCUUCACUUGCAAGUAUAUUAAGGUAAGAUUUUACUUUUUUCUUAUUUUUUCAUGAUUGAUUUCACUAUAUUUGUUUUUUAGUUAAUUUUAAUUGAUUUUGUUCAUAAUAAUUGUAUAAAUGUUGUUGUGAGAUUUUGUUUUCAUAUGAGAUCAAUUUUUAGUUGAUUUAUUUAUAGGAUUUUUAAAUUUUUAGCAAUUGCAACUUCAUUUUUUUCAUAUGAAUUUUUUUAGUUGAAUUAAUUUUUUUGUUUUAUUUUUUUUGUUGUAAAUUUGUUUGAGUUGAUUUUCUUAUUCUUUUUUCCAAGCAUUUUGAGUAUAUAUUAUACAAUGUUGAUUUAGUUAUUUUAUAAUUUUAUACAAUGAAUUUUUUUAAAAUGUUUUUAAAUAAUUACCGACGUAAAAUUCCGUCGGUAAAUCCGUUGGUAAUAAACAAAUAUUUUGACCAACGCGUCUGUUCCGUGGGUAAUAAUAUUACCGACAAACAAAAAAUUACCGACGAAAGAUUCAUCGACGGAAAUUCUCUGUCGGUGAUUUCGUCGGUAAAUUAAUUACCGAUGGAAUAUGUGUGUUACGCCGACGGAAAAAUUCCGUCGGUAAAACUGUUAAAUCUUGUAGUGGUAAAACUAUUCUUACAUUGUUCAAGUAAACAAUAUACUUAAAUCUUAAAUUUGGAGCUAUAAUGUUUUUCCGAGACCAAUUGGUUUUCUUUAAUCCAGUUACAAUUAACAUUAUGAUUGAUAUGAUUUAAUACAAUGAAAAAAAAAUGUACAAUAAUGAUUGGUUGCUUUAUUUUAUUAUUUCAUUUGGUGAUGGUAUGUAUUGCGAUUUUUUAAAAUAUUUUUUAUUAAUUUAAAAUAUAUCAAAAUAAUAUUUUUAUUUUUAUUAACACGUCAAGACCAUAAUAAAAUACUUAAAAAAAAAGUAAUCUUAUAAUGUUUUAGAUAAAAAACAAAUUGAAAAGCAAAAGCUGUCACAUUGUCAGAUAGGUAUAAAAUGACUCUGUUUAACAUUACAGUCCAAAAUUCUUGCAUUUGUUGUAGCUUUAAAUUAAUUUUUUUUAUCCUUAUUGGUUAUUUUGAUAAGCUAACAUUAAAAAUAAAGUUUUUUUAAAUAUUAUUUUAAUAUAUUUUUAAAUGAAAAAUACUUUAAAAAAUAAUAUAUAUCACACCCCUAAAUAGAUCUUAAAUAUACGCAAUAAAAGGUUUGAUAAACUUUUUUAUUUUAGACACUGCAAUAGUUAAGAAAUUUGUUUUAGUCCCUUGUAUUUUUAUUUUUAUUGCUGAAGUGGUCCUUAUUUUAAGAUUAUUUAAUCCUUUUUUUUGUUUUUGAAAUUACAUUUUAGUCUUACAAUGUAAAAUUGAGAUGUCAUGACAACUAACGACAUGUUUGGUACGAUUCAACAUGAUGUAAUCAAAGAUGUGAUAUAAUGGAAAAGUAAUAUAUAAUAAUGAUUCACUGUAUUAUUUUGUUUCGUUGUCUAAAUUUAAGUAACGUAACGAAAGCUUUUGAUAAAAUUUUAUUUUAGACACCGCAAUUGUUAAAAAAUUUAUUUCAAUCCCUUAUGUUUUUUUAUUUCCAGACACCACAAAAAAAAAGGUUGUCAUACUCAAAUAGAAAAAACUAGCCUUGAGCCCGCGCUUCGCCAAGGGUCAGCUAAAAAACUAAUAAUUGUAUAAAAAUUAAUAAAAUAUGGAUGCUAUUAUUUUUUCUUAUAUAUUAUAAAAUAUCUGGAAAGGGAAUUAAAAACUCAAUUAAUAUAUCAAACAAAAUCAAUCGAUCACCAUAAGCAUUAAUAAAUAAAUAAAAGUUGACGAGGCUUAUUCAACCUAGCAGGUCAAGGGUGAAUUGGGUAACCUGUUUAAAUGGUGAUCUGGUUAAAUAAAAAGUCACACAACCAUUGUUUUAACUCUGCUUAACUCUAGCUAAAACGUAAAACAACGAAAUGCCAAAGGAUUGGAUAAAAUCAAUAAGGGAAUGAAAUAAAAAAAUAAAAUAUUAUAUUAAUUUGAGUUAACAUAUAAAAUUUACAAUCCAGAAAAUAGACACAAUCAUAACGAAAUAGCCCAAUUGGAUUAUUUGUCUCUUUUGUUCUCCUUUUAUUCUCUUUUUGAUUAGGCCUUGAUUGAGUUAACAUAUAAAAUUUACAAUCCGGAAAAUAAACACAAUCAUAACGAGAUAGCCCAAUUGAAUUAUUUGUCUCUUUUUUUCUCCUUUUAUUCUCUUUUUGGUUAGGCCUUGAUUGAGUCUUAAUUGAAAAUGAAAUUUAAAAAGUAUAACAUAUUGUAUUGACUCGAGUUAAGUUGAAUUAACAAAUAAAAUUUACAAUUUGGAUCAUAAAUAUGAUCUCAAUUAAGCAUGAUUUUUUUAAGAUAAAUGAUAAAAAGUAUGAAAUUGUAUUUUUAUGUUAUUUUAAAUUAAAUAAAAAACUUCAAUGGCAACAAAGGAUUAAAAUGCAUUUUUAUUAAAAAAUAAAGGGAAAAUGCAUUAAACAAUAAAAAAGACAUGAAUAUUGUGUCUUAACUCGUCAAAGAAUAUAAAAAAUCGUGAAAAAAAGCUGAAAAAAGAGCCCACUAGGCCACUAAAAAAAUAACUCAGCCUGCAUGCCUAAACCUUGUAUAUUUUUUUGUCUUUUUAAGAUGACUUAUCAUCUAUCCCUAUUCAUUUGGAAUGAAACUGAUAGUCAAACGUGUUGUUUAUCUAUCCAAAUUCUAGCUUCUUAGUGAUAACUGAUAAAUUAUACAAAGAUUAAGGAGCUAAGAAGAGAUGUGUAUCACACUAGAACCUCUCCGGCAAGUGAGGUUCGAAGAAGGGUAUUACAGAAUCAUGGUCUGCCACGGAAAACAGCAACAAUCCGUUGAUCAUGGUCUGCUUUUUCCACCUCAUCCUUCAUAGGGCUUCGUGGAUUUACUAGACUUCCUCCUCAAAACUACAAUCCAAGUGAUUAAUUCCAGAAACGCAGCAAUUCCACCCAAGACUGCAAUGACAAUUAUGUAAAUUGUUCUCCAUUUAUCUCCAGGCUGCAAGAUAUCUAGACCUUUAAACACAUUCAAGAUGCCAAGGAUGAGGAUGGCAUAUCCGACACCAUGAUGGUAGAUAUUCCAGUAAAGUCGGUAUUUGUGGUCCUUCUUCGGCCUCAAGAACAAUGCAAAUAUCUGAAAAUUCCAAGCAUAGAGUUGCUAUCAGAAUAAAUAAAUCCAAAAUUAAUAGUAACAGUUCAGACAAAGCCAGUUUCCAUAUACAUUGCAAGUAGUACCGUCGGCCAAGAAGAUGGACAGCUAUAGAAAAAGGGUUGAAUUUAUUUCUAAGUCAGUUUUGUAAUGAAAUUUUGUUUUUUUAAGAAAUAAGAAACAUAUCCCCUAAUUAGUAUUCAUUAUAAGAAAACGCUAAGAGAAAAUAAAACUGACUGAGACAUGCUAAAAAUUCCGAAUUCAUCACCCUUUUCUUUUCACAUGUCUUACGGGUUAUAAUUCGAAAUACCAUAGGAGAAAGCGACUCCACAAGUACCAUUUUUGUCAAGUUGAUUCAAUUUCACGCAUUAAUAAUUCAGUACAUUGCAAGAAACCGUGACCAUGAUUUUGACAGGAGAGAAAAGGACAUCAACAAGCUCAACAUGGAAACAAAGGCCAAAUUCAAAUCUUUUCUCUCCUUUCAAAGGAAAUCAAUUACCUGCACUGUUGCAAGAGCGAAGAGUGCGAUCCCAAUAUUGCGAUGAAGAGAAAACUGGACUCCCUUGGAUUCAUUCCCAAGCUUUAUACCAGUUGCCCACCCUGCAACCCCGAUAGCAUAGGCAGAGACCUGACAGGAAACAUGAAGGUAAAACCAUGCAGGAUCUGCUGAUGGAAAAGUUCUCAGAUAUCUUGCUAUUACAAUUCCAAGCGGAAACAGAAUUCCCCAGCUCACAGCAUUCAGUACUCCAUGAAUCUGGAGAGAAAAAAAAACAAUAACACAGUAAAUAUUUCAUUUCCAAUGCUACUAAUUUUUCCAAAAAGAAAAAGAAAAAACCCAACUCAAAAAUAAAUCUUCAAAAUCCAGAAAGGGGUACGGAAAAGAUGUUAAUUUUUCAACACAAAUGAAUAAAUAAAUAAGCUUACAUUUUUUCUUUUCGUCCUGGAAUCCAGUCCACCAGAGCUAACACUUUUUCCUCCGUUCAAAUCCAAAGUCCCUUUAGAGUUCAAAUUAGGAGCACCCAUAUCAUGGAUUGUCGGCCCACCCUUGGCAGCAUCGACAGAUGACCCAACUUGCCACACCUGAUUCAGCGUCCCCUUCGCCGCCAGCUCCGGCGGGACCUUAAUUUUGGCAAAUAUUCUCAUCACUCCACUUUCCUCUUCUGCGCGCGUGUCCCAGACGUCAAAGGCCAGCUCCGACUGCACAACCGAAUAAGGCGUGGAGGUGCUGAUAUUAUAAGUCUUUGCGCUCAUUACACCCUUGGAGUCCUUGAACGCUACCAGUGCCUGGGCCCCGCCCAUGGCUGGAACCGUGGGAUUUAUGGCCCAUGAAAUCCAGCCGUUGGAUUUCGCAGGAGAAGCAAAGAAGGCGACGGACAGCGUUGAAUUUGCGGCAUCGUAGGUGAAAUGAAGGUAGGAGGAGAGUGUAGGGAGGUCUAAACAGUGGGCGUACAGAUUGUUGUUUGUGAAAGUCUGUGAGGCGCAUGUUUGUGAACGUACGGGUAAGGUUAGAGAAAUUGAGACGCAAAAGGUUAGAAGCAAAGCAGAAAUUUUAAACGGAGAUGCCAUUUUUUAGAGCGAAGGAAAAGUUGAGAGAAGGAUUUG